rnacentral:lncRNA from 1 species
CAGCUUCAUAAAAAAAAGAAAAAGGAGAGCCUCAUUAAAGAAAGAAAGAGAGAACACUUACAAAAACGAAAUUGAAGGAAUGCUUUGAAGGACAACAUGCUGUCAUAGUUGGAAUUCAUCAAUAAGCUUUUCUUUCUCUUGUAUUUUACUAGUUUUCUUUAAAUGACUUUGAUUUGUAAUAUUUUAGACAUGAGUAAGUAAUCUUUUUGUUGGUUAAGGAUUGAUUUUGAAACCCUAUUUUUUAGUUAAUAAAGUUUUAGAAUAUAUUCAUCUUUCUUUUGAAGAUAUUAUAUUUCACUGAUUUUAUAUCUCAAGAAUUGCUAUAUUGUUUAUUUAGGUGUACAACUAGAUUAAUUUUAAUAGUGGUCUGAUUGCUAGUUUAGGGCUUUGAUUCAUAAUUGUCAAAGAACUAAUCAAAAGUGGCAGGUUGUGAUCAAUGAUUAUAGGAUAUUUUUGUUUGAUUACUUGUGGAAUAUAAUUCAAGAUAAACAAACCGAGCUUGUGUGUUUG